rnacentral:rRNA from 1 species
AGAGUUUGAUCCUGGCUCAGAUUGAACGCUGGCGGCAUGCCUUACACAUGCAAGUCGAACGGCAGCACGGGAGCAAUCCUGGUGGCGAGUGGCGAACGGGUGAGUAAUACAUCGGAACGUGCCCAAUCGUGGGGGAUAACGCAGCGAAAGCUGUGCUAAUACCGCAUACGAUCUACGGAUGAAAGCAGGGGAUCGCAAGACCUUGCGCGAAUGGAGCGGCCGAUGGCAGAUUAGGUAGUUGGUGAGGUAAAGGCUCACCAAGCCUUCGAUCUGUAGCUGGUCUGAGAGGACGACCAGCCACACUGGGACUGAGACACGGCCCAGACUCCUACGGGAGGCAGCAGUGGGGAAUUUUGGACAAUGGGCGAAAGCCUGAUCCAGCCAUGCCGCGUGCAGGAUGAAGGCCUUCGGGUUGUAAACUGCUUUUGUACGGAACGAAACGGCCUUUUCUAAUAAAGAGGGCUAAUGACGGUACCGUAAGAAUAAGCACCGGCUAACUACGUGCCAGCAGCCGCGGUAAUACGUAGGGUGCAAGCGUUAAUCGGAAUUACUGGGCGUAAAGCGUGCGCAGGCGGUUAUGUAAGACAGUUGUGAAAUCCCCGGGCUCAACCUGGGGAACUGCAUCUGUGACUGCAUAGCUAGNAGUACGGUAGAGGGGGAUGGA